rnacentral:lncRNA from 1 species
CAUAUAGAGACAGUUCAAAAAUUUAUUCUAAUCAUUACAAAUCUACCAUCUUUGGUGAAUAGAUUACUCAGACUAGUCAGUUUCCAAUCAUAUGUCUCAUGUAUCAUCUCUAAACCUUAUCUUUGGACAGAAUAACUUUGUAUUUAGUCUGGGACAUUCCUAACCAUGCAAGAUCGAAAUCCUAUAAAUCAAGUGAACAGGCCACUUUGGUGACUACAGUGUAAUUAAUUAAUUCAUAGAACUCUCUC